AGGAAUAUAGCUCAAGUGUAGAGCAUGUGCUUAACAUGCAUGAGAUUCUGGGCUCAAUCCCUAAUACUACUA
rnacentral:tRNA from 1 species